CUGUCAACAAGUUCUCUAGCGGCAGACAUCCCUUGCCUCUGUGCCGUCCCGAUGGACAUCAAGUUAGCUACCAGCUGAGAUCUACUGAUGGGCUGGGGUGAUGUUUGGGGUUGGAGGUGAUGUUUGGCGUUUGACGCGUCUUGGUGAUUGUAAAUGAAGUUGGGAUCGAUGAAUCAUUUCGAGGUGGAUGGUGUUUUGAAUUGUGCUGGUAAUGAGGCGAGGGGUUUAGUUAUUUAAGAGAGUUGUUGUUGGAGUCUUCUAGAAACAGGAGAUUUGCUAGUGAGUCAAAAAGACAUCUAGAAUCAGCUGGAGGAUCUAACAUAUACUUCAGAAGCCUAAGUGAAAUCAUAAAGAUACCUGAAUCACUUGUAUUGAAACAAUGUUAUGAGUUGUCUGACAAUGAGUUUAAAGAGGGUGUCCUGCUUUGGGAGAUUUUCUGGAAAUCUGCUGGUAGGUCAAGACGUCAUCUGGGAUCUGCUAAGAAGACUUAAGUUGCUCUAGAGCAUUUUAAAUUAUCGAUCUCAGCUGACGCAGCUUGUACAAAUGAGGAAGAUGGUUAGGAGAUUUAUUAUCUGAGGAGUCAGAAUCUUUGUCAGAUUUCGAAGAAACUGUCAGGAACAGACUCAUCCUGAAGAAGAAUCCAUUUGUUCAAAGGUUUCCUCAUUCUUUAACAACACAGAAUCUACAUUAGAUACCGAAAUAACUACCAAGAAUCUUUACAAAUGACAUGGAAUACAUGUUAACUAGUAUAAUACAAAUGAGAAAGAAGAUUUCAGAGAUACAUUGAAGAUCUGUUCUUCGAACAGCUACCUAUAAUCUUCGUUAAGCAAUUGUCAUGUAGAAACUGAAAGCACCAGACUCAUCCUGAAGAAGAAUCUGCUUCGACGAAAGUUUCCUCAUUCCUCGAGAACAUACAGAUUACAUUAAAUUCCAGAGGAUUGAGUAAGUAGUGCAUACAGAUGGAAAAGAGGAUUUCAAAGAUCAUUUAUUGCUCUGUACUCUUUCUCAAGUUUAUGAGACUAUCACUAAGUAGCAACUGGAAGGACCAAAUUCUUCUUGUAGGAAAGUCUAUGAUAAUGGUAGAUAAUAGAAGAUCCAUCGUUUUUCAGGCACAAUAUCUACCCUUAAUUCUGCAACAAUUACUGAUCCUUAUCAAGCAUACAGAAUGUACAAGUAACAAAGAGGAUUUCAAAGAUACUUCAAAACAACCCAACCAAGAAAGAUAAUCUAAGUCCUUGCAUUUAAGAGGCAAUUCACAGUCACCAUUUGAUUUCACAUAGCAAAAUUAUAAAAUUCAAUAUUCAAUAUCAAAUUUGGUAUAACAUAAUUAUAUAUGAAAUAUUAAAAUAAAACAGCCCCAUCCCUCGAUUCGUAUAUUAUCACUGUAAAAAACGUAAUCAAUGUUUCACUAGGAAAUUAGCAACAUAUCUAACGAGAAAACUUUCAAGUGCAAAUGGUUAAAACAAUCCAACCAGCAAAGGUACUUUAAAAUAAUCCAACCAAUAACGAUACUUUAGAACUACUAAAUCAACUAUCUGUCCAUAAUUAUUCCAAUUAUAUCUGUCCAUCUACUAAUCAAUAGCAACUGGAAGGUAUCAGUCUCAUCUCAAAGACACAAAUGUCCAAGCAAGCAAGCAGGUAACGCGUAUAAGGUCCAAGAUUCCAAAGAUACCGCGACUUUCUUCUCGACCAGUUCGAAAGGCGCCCAGGCUGGACCUGUUAGAGUGU